GACGAACGCUGGCGGCGUGCUUAACACAUGCAAGUCGAACGGUGAAGGGACCAGCUUGCUGGUUCUGGAUGAGUGGCGAACGGGUGAGUAACACGUGAGUAACCUGCCCCCUUCUUCUGGAUAACCGCAUGAAAGUGUGGCUAAUACGGGAUAUUCUGGGUCUGUCGCAUGGCGGGCCCGGGAAAGAUAUUGCUUCGGUGGGGGAUGGGCUCGCGGCCUAUCAGCUUGUUGGUGGGGUGAUGGCCUACCAAGGCGGUGACGGGUAGCCGGCCUGAGAGGGUGUACGGUCACACUGGGACUGAGACACGGCCCAGACUCCUACGGGAGGCAGCAGUGGGGAAGAUUGCACAAUGGGCGCAAGCCUGAUGCAGCGACGCCGCGUGAGGGAGGGAGGCCUUCGGGUUGUAAACCUCUUUCGCCAGUGAAGCAGGCCUGCUCCUUGUGGGUGGGUUGACGGUAGCUGGAUAAGAAGCGCCGGCUAACUACGUG
rnacentral:rRNA from 1 species